rnacentral:rRNA from 1 species
UACGUAGGGUGCGAGCGUUGUCCGGAAUUACUGGGCGUAAAGAGCUCGUAGGCGGUAUGUCGCGUCUGCUGUGAAAGACCGGGGCUUAACUUCGGUUUUGCAGUGGAUACGGGCAUGCUUGAGGUAGGUAGGGGAGACUGGAAUUCCUGGUGUAGCGGUGGAAUGCGCAGAUAUCAGGAGGAACACCGAUGGCGAAGGCAGGUCUCUGGGCCACUACUGACGCUGAGGAGCGAAAGCAUGGGUAGUGAACAGGAUUAGA